rnacentral:rRNA from 1 species
AGCGAACGCUGGCGGCAGGCCUAACACAUGCAAGUCGAGCGCCCCGCAAGGGGAGCGGCAGACGGGAGAGUAACACGUGGGAACGUACCCUUCAGUUCGGAACAACCAAGGGAAACUUUGGCUAAUACCGAAUACGUCCGUAAGGAGAAAGAUUUAUCGCUGAAGGAUCGGCCCGCGUCUGAUUAGCUAGUUGGUGGGGUAAUGGCCCACCAAGGCGACGAUCAGUAGCUGGUCUGAGAGGAGGAUCAGCCUCACUGGGACUGAGACACGGCCCAGGCUCCUACGGGAGGCAGCAGUGGGGAAUAUUGGACAAUGGGCGCAAGCCUGAUCCAGCCAUGCCGCGUGGAUGAUGAAGGCCCUAGGGUUGUAAAGUCCUUUCGGCGGGGAAGAUAAUGACGGUACCCGCAGAAGAAGCCCCGGCUAACUUCGUGCCAGCCGCCGCGGUAAAAC